UACGAAGGGGGCUAGCGUUGCUCGGAAUCACUGGGCGUAAAGGGUGCGUAGGCGGGUCUUUAAGUCAGGGGUGAAAUCCUGGAGCUCAACUCCAGAACUGCCUUUGAUACUGAAGAUCUUGAGUUCGGGAGAGGUGAGUGGAACUGCGAGUGUAGAGGUGAAAUUCGUAGAUAUUCGCAAGAACACCAGUGGCGAAGGCGGCUCACUGGUCCAUUACUGACACUGAUGAGCGAAAGCCAGGGGAGCAAACGGG
rnacentral:rRNA from 1 species